rnacentral:rRNA from 1 species
CAGCCGCCGCGGGAAUACGAAGGGGGCUAGCGUUGCUCGGAAUGACUGGGCGUAAAGGGCGCGUAGGCGGUUUUCCAAGUUAGAUGUGAAAUUCCUGGGCUCAACCUGGGGGCUGCAUUUGAUACUGGGAGGCUUGAGUAUGGAAGAGGGUCGUGGAAUUCCCAGUGUAGAGGUGAAAUUCGUAGAUAUUGGGAAGAACACCGGUGGCGAAGGCGGCGACCUGGUCCAUAACUGACGCUGAGGCGCGAAAGCGUGGGGAGCAAACAGGAUUAGAGACCCGAGUAGUCCCUGUCUCUUAUAC